CCUACGGGAGGCAGCAGUAGGGAAUCUUUCACAAUGGGCGAAAGCCUGAAGGAGCAACGCCGCGUGCAGGAUGAAGGCCUUCGGGUUGUAAACUGCUUUUAUAAGCGAGAAAUAUGAUGGUAACUUACGAAUAAGGAUCGGCGAACUACGUGCCAGCAGCCGCGGUCAUACGUAGGAUGCGAGCAUUAUCCGGAGUGACUGGGCGUAAAGAGUGGCGUAGGGGGCAUAAUAAGUAGCUAGUGAAAACUGGUGGCUAAACCAUUCAGACUAUUAGCGAAACUGUUAGUCUCGAGACCGUUAGAGGUAGGUGGAAUGUGUGGUGUAGGGGUGAAAUCCGUAGAUAUUAGAAAGAACACCGAUAGCGAAGGCAGCUUGCUGGGACGGUUCUGACGCUGAGGCACGAAAGCGUAGGGAGCAAACAGGAUUAGAUACCCUUGUAGUC
rnacentral:rRNA from 1 species